rnacentral:rRNA from 1 species
UGUAAGCGUAUACCAAAGUUGUUGCAGUUAAAACGCUCGUAGUCGGAAUUUGGCAGUUCCGGAAGUGUGCACGUCGUGUGCGCACUUUGCGGGGACUGCUUUUGUGGUCUUGCGUAGGAUGAGGCACUUUCAUUAGUGAACGUCCUCACGCAACCACUCUUUACUGUGAGAAAAUCAGAGUGCUCAAAGCAGGCAUUUACCGUGAAUGUAUUAGCAUGGAAUAAUAGAAUAGGACUCGGUUCUAUUUUGUUGGUUUGUUGGGACUGAGUAAUGAUUAAGAGGGACAGUUGGGGGCAUUUGUAUUCCGGCGCUAGAGGUGAAAUUCUUAGAUUGCCGGAAGACAAACUGCUGCGAAAGCGUCUGCCAAGGAUGUUUUCAUUGA